CGUAGGCGGUAAAAGAAGUCAUCUGUGAAAACCUAUUGCUCAACGAUAGGCUAGCGGAUGAAACUGAAUUACUUGAGGGCACCAGAGGUAGACGGAAUUACCCGAGUAGGGGUGAAAUCCGCAGAUACGGGUAGGAACGCCGGUGGAGAAGUCGGUCUACUGGGGUGCACCAGACGCUGAGGCCCGAAAGCUAGGGGAGCAAACCGGAUUAGAUACCCGGGUAGUCCUAGCCGUAAACGAUGCUCACUAGGUGUAGGGAGUGAUAAACUCUCUGUGCUGAAGCGAACGCGCUAAGUGAGCCGCCUGGGGAGUACGUCCGCAAGGAUGAAACUCAAAGGAAUUGACGGGGGUCCGCAUAAGCGGUGGAGCAUGUGGUUUAAUUCGAUGGUAACCGAAGAACCUUACCAGGGAUUGACAUGUAACUGAAGGUAGAGAAAUCUACUGGCCUGCUGCAAAGCGGGAGGUUACACAGGUGGUGCACGGCCGUCGUCAGCUCGUGCCGUGAGGUGUUGGGUUAAGUCCCGCAACGAGCGCAACCCCUACGAUUAGUUACUAACGCGGAAAGGCGAGGACUCUAAUCGGACUGCCGCCGACGAGGCGGAGGAAGGAGGGGAUGACGUCAGGUAAGCGUGCCCCUUAUACUCUGGGCGACACACGUGCUACAAUGGAGGGGACAAAGGGAAGCGAAGCCGAGAGGUGGAGCGGAUCCUAAAAAAACUCUCCGAAAUACGGAUUGUAGGCUGCAACCCGCCUACAUGAAGUCGGAAUCGCUAGUAAUCGCAGGUCAGCCAAACUGCGGUGAAUACGUUCCCGGGCCUUGUACACACCGCCCGUCACGCCACCCGAGUUGGGAACACCUGAAGGCAGUACGGGAGGUACUGUUGAAGGUGGGCUUGGCGAGGGGGGCGAAGUCGUAACAAGGUAACCGUA
rnacentral:rRNA from 1 species